GACGAACGCGGCGGCGUGCCUAAUACAUGCAAGUAGAACGCUGAAGGAGGAGCUUGCUUCUCUGGAUGAGUUGCGAACGGGUGAGUAACGCGUAGGUAACCUGCCUGGUAGCGGGGGAUAACUAUUGGAAACGAUAGCUAAUACCGCAUAAGAGUAGAUGUUGCAUGACAUUUGCUUAAAAGGUGCAAUUGCAUCACUACCAGAUGGACCUGCGUUGUAUUAGCUAGUUGGUGGGGUAACGGCUCACCAAGGCGACGAUACAUAGCCGACCUGAGAGGGUGAUCGGCCACACUGGGACUGAGACACGGCCCAGACUCCUACGGGAGGCAGCAGUAGGGAAUCUUCGGCAAUGGACGGAAGUCUGACCGAGCAACGCCGCGUGAGUGAAGAAGGUUUUCGGAUCGUAAAGCUCUGUUGUAAGAGAAGAACGAGUGUGAGAGUGGAAAGUUCACACUGUGACGGUUUCUACC
rnacentral:rRNA from 1 species